rnacentral:lncRNA from 1 species
GUUGGAGGGGAGGUGGUGUAGGAUGGAAGGUACUGUUGAAGGGGAGGUUCUGUUGGCGGGGGGGUUCUGUUGAAGAGGAGACGCUAUUGGAGGGAAGGUUCUGUUGGAUGGGAGGUACUAUUGGAGGUGAGGUUAGUACUCUAGUACUUUAGGAUACGUCCCAUAUGGCACCCUAUUUCCUACGUGGUGCUUUGGACCAGAAGUAGUGCACUGUUAGGGGAACAGGAUGCAGACUAGGUCAUGCAGAGGUCCAUAAUGAGGGAUUUAUUUGAAACAUUAGAUUUGUAAUGUAACAAGACAG